rnacentral:lncRNA from 1 species
UCGCUUUGGUUCUCCAUUACUUCCUUAGGUUCCCCACUUGUGACCUCAGCUCGCUGGACAUGGAGUCUGUCACGGUCUGACUUAUUCCCACUGAGUCUCCAGCAUCUGGCCAGAGCCCAGCACAUAGUAGGAAACCUUUCACUUUAAGCAGAAUGACAUGCCCCAUUUGUGGGAAACCGUAUGGGAAGAGGGGAAAGGAG